rfam:Cedecea davisae DSM 4568 genomic scaffold Scaffold0, whole genome shotgun sequence.
UUGCAUCUGAAGUUAAAGAGGAUGAGAACCUCCGAAGGAGGUUUGAGCCGAGCGUAGCGAGACAACGUUGCUUCAGCAACGGCCCGCAGGGGAAUAAUCCUCUCUCGCCGACCA